rnacentral:rRNA from 1 species
CCUACGGGUGGCUGCAGUGGGGGAUAUUGCACAAUGGGGGAAACCCUGAUGCAGCGACGCCGCGUGAGUGAAGAAGUAUUUCGGUAUGUAACGCUCUAUCAGCAGGGAAGAAAAUGACAGUACCUGACCAAGAAGCUCCGGCUAACUACGUGACAGCAGCCGCGGUAAUACGUAGGGGGCCAGCGUUAUCCGGAUUUACUGGGUGUAAAGGGAGCGUAGGCGGUUAUGUAAGUCUGGAGUGAAAGCCCGGGGCCUAACCCCGGGACUGCUUUGGAAACUGUGUAACUGGAGUACAGGAGGGGCAGGCGGAAGUCCUGGUGUAGCGGUGAAAUGCGUAGAUAUCAGGAGGAACACCGGCGGCGAAGGCAGUCUACUGGACUGAAACUGACGUUGAGGCUCGAAAGCGUGGGGAGCAAACAGGAUUAGAUACCCUUGUAGUC